AGAAUGCAGUGUUCUGCAAGUAUGACAGGGCACUGCUGGGAUUUUCAACUGCCAUGAAUUAGAUUUGGGAAGACUUUCCAGGAUCCUAUUUGGAGAUGAAUAAUGACCAAUUGAGCUAAUCUAUUACAGGGCUUACGUUAAGGUUUGCAACAUCACCCUCUUUUGUGAAAUUGUCAAGAGAAAGAAGAACUGGCCAAACGUUCGUUUUAAACACGUUUGGGUGGUGUUUCCCCCCGCCCCAAGCAAUCCUAUAUUAAAAGAAAGCGUGAAGGGUCUUGGCCACCUUUAGUGGGAAAGAGAUCUCUCCAAGGGGCUCACUCCCAAGUGUAAACUGAGCGGGGGAGGGCUGAGAAGAGGGAGAGGUUGCCUUUUAAUCAACAGAUAAACAAGCUGUGGGGCGACAGCAAAUUGACUGCAAAGCAAAUCCGACGAUUGCAACCGCGCACAUCCUCGAACCGUUCCCUCGUUUAAGUUUAGCAACGCUCGGACAGCCGCGGAGCAGGCGAGCUCGACCUCGCUCCGGAGAUCAGGUCCUCCCCGUGAAAGAAAAGAAAGAGCCACAAGAGCAGCGGCAGCGGCAGCAGCAACCCGUCAGAAGGAAAACGUGUCCCGAAGGUUCUGAAUUCACGUGUGCUUAAAAAACGAAUCGGUGUCCGCAUUUCAGAAGGACUUCUCUCCGCGUUUAAAGAAAACGUGCUUUACCGGCAAGGGAGAGGAUUGCUGGAGGAGGGCAACAUUCCCCAGUGGGGCCUGUCAGAGAAGGAAAGAGGCUACACCCCUUAGGUCAUGGCACACAGAUAUCCAUACUCCAGACCUCUGACACCUGCAGGUGGCCCCAUUCCCGAACAGGAUGGCUGGAGAAAGCCUACUGCCAGAUACCGUUAUCAGAGGGUGCACACAGAUAUAGUCUCAGCUGUGUGAGCCCAGUGUUUUUGUCAAAUAUACAGCCUUCUCUCCAGGAUCCUUCUCAGAGGGAAUACUCUCUUGUCUCAGGUGAGGCUGGCUGACUACAGCCCUGGAUGGCUGGGAACACCUCACUAACCACUUCUUGAAUCCCCAAACAUUAAAAACAAUUCUGAUUUUUAAAAUAAACUCGACACGUUUGUGUGGGUGGUAAUUGUG
rnacentral:lncRNA from 1 species